rnacentral:tRNA from 1 species
GGAGGGCCAGUGGGCCAGUGGAAGAGCCUCCGCUUGAGAUGCAGAAGGCCCUAGGUUCAAUUCCGGGCAUCUCCA